UACGUAGGUGGCAAGCGUUGUCCGGAUUUACUGGGCGUAAAGAGCGCGCAGGCGGUCGUGCAAGUCGCGUGUGAAAGCCCCCGGCUCAACUGGGGAGGGUCACGCGAUACUGCUCGACUCGAAGGCAGGAGAGGGAAGUGGAAUUCCCGGUGUAGUGGUGAAAUGCGUAGAUAUCAAGCGGAACACCGGUGGCGAAGGCGGCCUUCUGGACAGUGACUGACGCUGAGACGCGAAAGCGUGGGGAGCAAACAGG
rnacentral:rRNA from 1 species